rnacentral:rRNA from 1 species
CCUACGGGUGGCAGCAGUAGGGAAUCUUCCACAAUGGGCGAAAGCCUGAUGGAGCAACGCCGCGUGGGUGAAGAAGGUCUUCGGAUCGUAAAACCCUGUUGUUAGAGAAGAAAGUGCGUGAGAGUAACUGUUCACGUUUCGACGGUAUCUAACCAGAAAGCCACGGCUAACUACGUGCAAGCAGCCGCGGCAAUACGUAGGUGGCAAGCGUUAUCCGGAUUUAUUGGGCGUAAAGGGAACGCAGGCGGUCUUGUAAGUCUGAUGUGAAAGCCUUCGGCUUAACCGGAGUAGUGCAUUGGAAACUGGGAGACUUGAGUGCAGGAGAGGAAGGUGGAACUCGAUGUGUAGCGGUGAAAUGCGUAGAUAUAUGGAAGAACACCAAUGGCGAAGGCGGCUCUCUAGUCUGUAACUGACGCUGAGGUUCGAAAGCGUGGGUAGCAAACAGGAUUAGAUACCCUAGUAGUC